rnacentral:rRNA from 1 species
UACGUAGGGUGCAAGCGUUAAUCGGAAUUACUGGGCGUAAAGCGUGCGCAGGCGGUGAUGUAAGACAGAUGUGAAAUCCCCGGGCUCAACCUGGGAACUGCAUUUGUGACUGCAUGGCUGGAGUGCGGCAGAGGGGGGAUGGAAUUCCGCGUGUAGCAGUGAAAAUGCGUAGAUAUGCGGAGGAACACCGAUGGCGAAGGCAAUCCCCUGGGCCUGCACUGACUCAUGCACAAAGCGUGG